rnacentral:rRNA from 1 species
GACGAAGGUGCGGCCGCGAACAGCGGUCCGCACUGACGGUACCUCCACAAGAAGCCCCGGCUAACUACGUGCCAGCAGCCGCGGUAAUACGUAGGGUCCGAGCGUUGUCCGGAAUUACUGGGCGUAAAGAGCUCGUAGGUGGUUUGUCGCGUUGUUCGUGAAAACUCACAGCUUAACUGUGGGCGUGCGGGCGAUACGGGCAGACUGGAGUACUGCAGGGGAGACUGGAAUUCCUGGUGUAGCGGUGGAAUGCGCAGAUAUCAGGAGGAACACCGGUGGCGAAGGCGGGUCUCUGGGCCGAUACUGACGCUGAGGAGCGAAAGCGUGGGGAGCGAACAGGAUUAGAUACCCUGGUAGUCCACGCCGUAAACGUUGGGCGCUAGAUGUGGGGGCCAUUCCACGGUUUCCGUGCCGCAGCUAACGCAUUAAGCGCCCCGCCUGGGGAGUACGGCCGCAAGGCUAAAACUCAAAGGAAUUGACGGGGGCCCGCACAAGCGGCGGAGCAUGUUGCUUAAUUCGAUGCAACGCGAAGAACCUUACCUAGGCUUGACAUGCACGGAAAUCCGGCAGAGAUGUCGGGUCCGUAAGGGUCGUGCACAGGUGGUGCAUGGUUGUCGUCA